rnacentral:rRNA from 1 species
GGGCUCUUAUAGAGGUCCAGCCUGCCCAGUGAUAUUUUUUAACGGCCGCGGUACUCUGACCGUGCGAAGGUAGCAUAAUCACUUGUUCUUUAAAUGAGGACUAGUAUCAACGGCAUCACGAGGAUUUUACUGUCUCCUUUUUCCUAUCGGUGAAACUGAUCUCCCCGUGAAGAAGCGGGGAUAAUUCUAUAAGACGAGAAGACCCCAUGGAGCUUUAAACCCAGAGACACCUCAAACCCCCCUUUCCAUAAAAGUUUUUAUGUGCUGUCCUCUGGUUUUAGGUUGGGGUGACCGCGGAGUAAAACUUAACCUCCACAACGCACGGAACUUCUUCCUUAUCUAAGAGCAACAUCUCAAAGAAUUAACAUAUUGACGUAAAAUGAUCCAAUAACUUAUUUUGAUCAACGAACCAAGUUACCCUGGGGAUAACAGCGCAAUCCAUUUCCAGAGCCCCUAUCGACAAAUGGGGUUACGACCUCGAUGUUGGAUCACGGGGUCCCAAUGGUGCAGCCGCUGCUAAUGGGGUGUUUUUUGAACAAUUAAAA